GAGGAAGAAGCUUCUUUUUAAGAUUUGCUUUGAUUCAAAAGUACAUAUAUUCUGCUUCUCCUCUUUCUUUCACAUUUUCAAAGUCCUAUAGUUUGGUUCUUCUUUAAAGGCACCUGUUCAUGGAAGAUGGUGUCUUAUGUCGCAGUGGUAAAUUGCAACAACGGUACUUGACAUGAAGUGCAAUAUUUGAAAGAUGGAACUGUUCUUUGCAAUUGUGAUAUUAGCAUGUCUCCACUCAUUCGCUUUACCUGAUGGACAAGGAGAUGCCCUGUUUGCACUGAAGAAUUCACUUAAUGCUUCAAAUGAUCAGCUUGCUGAUUGGAAUCAGUAUCAAGUUAGUCCUUGCAUUUGGUCCAAAAUUACUUGUGAUGAUAAAGGCAAUGUCAUCAUGGUGUCAUUGUCAAAUAUGGGAUUCUCGGGCAUUUUAACUCCCAGAUUAGGUGUUCUAAAGAAUGUGAAUACAUUGUUUUUGACUCAAAACAAUCUCACAGGGACAAUCCCUCAGUCAGUUUCAAGCCUCCAGAACUUGAUGAGCCUUCAGCUUGCUUCCAAUGGUCUUACUGGUCAAGUUCCUGAACAGUUGUUUCAAGUUCCAAAAUACAAUUUUACAGGGAAUCGUUUGAAUUGUGGCUUAAAUUUCAGUCAUCAUUGUGAAUCUGAUAGUGGAGGUUCUCCUAGUAAACCAAAGAUUGGUCUCGUAGUUGGUAUUGCUGGUGGAUUUCUUGGAAUUCUCCUUCUUGGAGGAUCUGUGUUAUUGUUCUGGAGGAGAAGGCACAAAGGCUAUAGGCGUGAAAUCUUUGUUGACGUUGUAGGUGAGGUUGAUCGACGAAUUCCAUUUGGUCAAUUGAGGAGAUUUUCAUGGAGGGAAUUGCAGCUUGCUACUGAUAACUUUAGUGAAAAGAAUGUUCUUGGACAAGGAGGUUUUGGCAAGGUCUAUAAAGGAGUGCUCAAUGACGGCACUAAAGUUGCCGUGAAACGAUUAGCUGAUUAUGAGAGCCCUGGGGGAGAUGCUGCAUUCCAGCGAGAAGUUGAGAUGAUAAGCGUGGCUGUUCAUAGGAACCUCUUACGGCUUAUAGGGUUUUGCACCACACCGACUGAACGGCUGCUAGUAUAUCCAUAUAUGCAGAAUCUAAGUGUUGCUUAUCGUCUACGAGAACUUAAACCUGGGGAGUCUGUUUUGGUUUGGCCAACUAGGAAGCGUGUGGCACUGGGCACUGCAUGUGGACUUGAAUACCUACAUGAACACUGUAAUCCAAAGAUUAUUCACCGUGAUGUUAAAGCAGCUAAUGUAUUACUAGAUGAGGAUUUUGAAGCUGUAGUUGGUGAUUUUGGCUUGGCAAAGUUAGUUGACAUUAACAAAACCAAUGUGACAACUCAAGUUCGUGGUACAAUGGGCCAUAUAGCUCCUGAAUACUUAUCCACUGGCAAAUCAUCAGAAAAAACAGAUGUUUUUGGCUAUGGGAUCAUGCUUUUGGAGCUUGUUACUGGCCAACGUGCAAUAGACUUCUCACGCCUAGAAGAAGAAGAUGAUGUUUUGUUGCUUGACCAUGUCAAAAAACUGCAAAGGGAGAAAAGACUGGAUGCUAUUGUAGACCGGAACCUGAAUAAGAACUACGACAUGGAUGAAGUGGAGAUGAUGAUUCAGGUGGCAUUGCUGUGCACUCAGCCCUCACCAGAGGAACAUCCAGCAAUGUCGGAGGUGGUAAGGAUGCUGGAAGGAGAAGGGCUUGCCGAGAGAUGGGAAGAGUGGCAGCACGUUGAAGUCAACCGUAGGCAAGAAUAUGAGAGACUUCAAAGACGAUUUGAUUGGGGAGAAGAUUCAAUCUUUAAUCAGGAUGCUGUUGAGUUGUCUGGCGGAAGAUGACAAAUGAGUAAUUUUGAACUAGUACAUACGUCAUUGCUACUGCAAGCGUUUGGGACAUACUAAGACAAAUGUUACAAGUUGCACGAUUACCCUCAGAACUCUAAUCCAAAUCAGUCCUUCAAAUUCAACAAAGGCAAGCAUACUAUGGCUAAUGCACAUGCUGCACCUACUGAAGAGCUAUUCAUUAAGGGAGAUGAAUCAGUUUCACAGGACGAUACUCACAACGUAGCAACUAUUGGCAUCACAAAAGAGCAAUAUGGUCAAUUGGAGAAUCUGCUCCAACACCUUCACAACAACAAUGGAGGAGAGAGCUCAAACACUCGCCUUGCAAGUAGAGCUGCUAAUUUUGCAGGUCCCUUAGGUCCCUUUAAUAAAUAGGUCUCUAGAGAUUGGUAAGAUCAGAAGUAGUCUGUAUCUUCUUUGUUCUCACUGUUUAGCAAAUACGAGUCCAAUAUUAGUUCCUAAUGUUUCUGUUACUUGCACUUCAUCUUCUGAUUGUGAUGUAAAUAUUUCAUAGUGUCAAAUACUUCCAAUUGUAAAUAAUUUCAUUGCAAUAAGACACAGUCAAUUUACAUU